UAUUUUCCAAGCCCCUGAACACCAUCAGACAAGGCAAUAUACAAAGCCACAAACAUAUAUAUAAGGAAACUCAAUUCCUUUCCUUUUCACGCACAAGCAUCUGAUCUUUCUUUCUUGUUUUCUUUUUUUUCUUCUUCUUGCUGCAGCAACAACACGCACACCAUGCCUUCUAAUUUUUCUCAUCACCAAUUUCUUCUUCAUUUUUCCUUGUUGCAACAAACGACCCACGCACCAUAGUCAUUCAUCACCAUGCCAAUUUUCUCAUCACCCUUCAAGCACCAAACCCACGAGCACAAAGGGAGAGAGGGAGAACAAGUUUUUUCGCCGUUUCUUGCCUGAUCGUCUCACUGACAGUUGCUAUGCGUAGACCUCGAGGUUCGUUUGUGGAAACCUUAGACUUGACUGAGCAAGCUUGGGAGUGUGACUUACACUGUGAUUCUGGAAGAACUAGAGAUGCCGUUGACGGAUCGUUUCGUGAUGCUUCGUCGUUCGGGGAAGACCCGGAGCGAAAUGACUACUACUGAGCCUUCGACGUGGACCCGGACUUCAUGCAGGAUCGGAUGAGGGUCGAUGUUAGGGGUGUAGUACAUAGGGUUUCGUUGUCAUAGCUCUGAUUUUCAUUUCUUAUUUUGGGGCAGGGUAGGUCCCCGACUAUUAGCUUUUUGUGUGGUUCUCUUCCAUGAGGAUCACAGGGAGUUUGUCGGACGUACGAGGUCUUUUGGAAGCCGUUAUGGGCUAACUUACUUUUUGGAGGACUGUAUUUAUAAAACUUAUGACUCUAUCUAUGGGUCGCACUUGUUUGCCGUUGGGCAUUACUUUUAGUUACUAGGUGUUACUUUCUGUCACUCGAUGACACUCGUGACGAUGAUUUUGGUUGCAGCGAGGGCUAUGCUUUUAUUGUAUGUUAGUCGCUGUUAAUCGCGAUUGGGUUGAGUCUUUAAAUUCGACAAGUCUUUUUAUUUAAAAAGAAAACGAAAAAAAAAUACCUGCUUUUCUGCUUUAUUUUAUCUUUGGUUACUAAAGUGGCGCCACCGAAAUCGGGGUGUUACAUUCCCUUCAUAUUCCCUUCUCCCAUCUUCCUCUUCUCUUGGACCACUGCUUUGGCAUCUGGCGAGAUAGCAAGCUGGUGGCUGAUGAAGUUGGGAUCGAUUCCCGGCACAUGUAAGUAUCAUAACAUCAAAAGAAAUAACAAUAGACAAAUAAUGACAACUCAUCCAGGUUUCAAGAAACAUAAUGAUAUUCAACAAUAUCAAAUCAACAAGGCAGAAUGCAUGAUGAGAUGGGCACCAACGAGUCAGUCCUAACACCGGCCUAAUGUUUAACCAUUUCCGCUCGAGCGUCUCUUACACCAAACAAAUGUAGAAGAUCAGUCGUAACCCACAGGUCUGCCAUUUCCGUCUGCUACUAAGAACCACACGUAGUGUUCUUAUGUGAAAACCCGGGUCUUAUGACAAUUUUAGGAAAGGUCCGACAUCCCAUUGUGUAUUAACCUCAAUAUGUAUGAAUGGUACAAUAUGAUUAGCCAAUCAACGUACGACCUCACCCAUCACGUCGUCAUGUGUUCUAGCUAACAUAUUGUCUCUAAAAAUACCCUAAGGUAAAUGUCAAUUCUACGACAAAAGACAAUUAAUAUUGAAAUUCUAGUUCCCGUAUAGAAGAUGUCCUACGCAAGGCUUAUGCAAUUGCUUAGAUAAUCAAAUAACAGUGAAGAGUAAAAACAUAAAAUAAAUAAGACGCAACAUCAAAGUUGUUAACCCAGUUCGGUGAAACUUCACCUACGUCUGGAGGGUUCGCACCCAAAGAAAAGAUAUUUAUUAUCUCAAGAUUCAGGAACUACAGACACUCAUCAACACCACAGCUCAUAGUUCUCUUCCUAAUCUACCCAGUGUAUUUCUACUUAGUAUAUCGACCUAAGUAUAAGAGCCUCUCUCAGUUUCUCUCAACCACUGCCAUACAAGGACUAACACAAUUAACAACCCUAAAACACUUGAUCUGAUUCUCUCAAUAGCUUCAGUAGUCUUCACGUUUUAGGUCUUCAAUAUAUAUAAGCAUCAGCAGCCACAUUAGGGUUU